AUAGACAGAUAAAAAUAUCCAGAAAGAGUCCACUCUGCACCUGGUCCUCCGUCUCAGGGGUGGUAUGCAGAUCUUUGUGAAGACCCUGACAGGCAAGACCAUCACCCUGGAGGUGGAACCCAGUGAUACCAAGGAAAAUGUGACGGCAGGAUGCAGGAGUAAGAGGGCAUCCGAU